rnacentral:snoRNA from 1 species
AAGCCGCCAAUGAAUCUACUUACCUGAAUGUGUUUCUGCAGAAACUCUUAAAAAGCUGGCAAUAAUAAAGCAAUGCUAAAAGCCUUAAGGGCUUUGAAGUCGUUAAGGUCCCUGAAAAUGGCUAUAAUA